rnacentral:lncRNA from 1 species
UUCGACCUUAUCUAAUUCUCAAGCCACAUGCUUCCUCACUCGAAUCAUACACAUCCAACCAAGUCAGAGUAAAAAAAUCAAGAACACAAAAUUAGAAUAAUCUCAUAUUAGAAACCAAAUGAACUUGAAACAAUUGAAAAAAUAAAAAUAAAAAAUAUGAUACCUCACUCACUGUCGAUUGAAGAAGACUUUGUUGGAAAGAUGUCUUCUUUGACAAACCCCUUAUGGUGGAAGAAGAUGUUAAAUCCUAGGUUUCGAGUUAGAAAUUUGAUGGGUUUGGGAGAGUUCCUUGAAAAUCUAGUCUGAUCAAAGAGAAGAGGGGAAGGAGAAGAUCAUUUUGGAAGGCAGCAGUAAGCCGAAAGGCAUCGGUAGAACAAAGAUGUCUUCUUUGGCAAACCCCUUAUGGUGGAAAAAAAUGUUGAAUCCCAG